GUGCCUAAUACAUGCAAGUUGAGCGCUGAAGGAAGGUACUUGUACCGACUGGAUGAGCAGCGAACGGGUGAGUAACGCGUGGGGAAUCUGCCUUUGAGCGGGGGACAACAUUUGGAAACGAAUGCUAAUACCGCAUAAAAACUUUAAACACAAGUUUUAAGUUUGAAAGAUGCAAUUGCAUCACUCAGAGAUGAUCCCGCGUUGUAUUAGCUAGUUGGUGAGGUAAAGGCUCACCAAGGCGAUGAUACAUAGCCGACCUGAGAGGGUGAUCGGCCACAUUGGGACUGAGACACGGCCCAAACUCCUACGGGAGGCAGCAGUAGGGAAUCUUCGGCAAUGGACGAAAGUCUGACCGAGCAACGCCGCGUGAGUGAAGAAGGUUUUCGGAUCGUAAAACUCUGUUGGUAGAGAAGAACGUUGGUGAGAGUGGAAAGCUCAUCAAGUGACGGUAACUACCCAGAAAGGGACGGCUAACUACGUGCCAGCAGCCGCGGUAAUACGUAGGUCCCGAGCGUUGUCCGGAUUUAUUGGGCGUAAAGCGAGCGCAGGUGGUUUAUUAAGUCUGGUGUAAAAGGCAGUGGCUCAACCAUUGUAUGCAUUGGAAACUGGUAGACUUGAGUGCAGGAGAGGAGAGUGGAAUUCCAUGUGUAGCGGUGAAAUGCGUAGAUAUAUGGAGGAACACCGGUGGCGAAAGCGGCUCUCUGGCCUGUAACUGACACUGAGGCUCGAAAGCGUGGGGAGCAAACAGGAUUAGAUACCCUGGUAGUCCACGCCGUAAACGAUGAGUGCUAGAUGUAGGGAGCUAUAAGUUCUCUGUAUCGCAGCUAACGCAAUAAGCACUCCGCCUGGGGAGUACGACCGCAAGGUUGAAACUCAAAGGAAUUGACGGGGGCCCGCACAAGCGGUGGAGCAUGUGGUUUAAUUCGAAGCAACGCGAAGAACCUUACCAGGUCUUGACAUACUCGUGCUAUUCCUAGAGAUAGGAAGUUCCUUCGGGACAC
rnacentral:rRNA from 1 species